GGGCAAUGGUGGUUCUGGCGGUGGCGAUUUUGGGUGCUGCCGGUGUGUCGGGAAGCUGAGUAUGGUGGAUGUGAUUUGCUAUCUCUGUAGGGACGAGAAUUUGUUGUCCCCUUCGGCUGCAUUGCGAGCUUCUGUCUCUGAGAUUCUGCCUCCAAUUCCUGGAAUCGUGAUGCAUUUGGAGCCGUCUGCUAGCUUGAUAGAGGCCAUUGAUCUAGUUCUCC
rnacentral:misc_RNA from 1 species